GGUGAGGCUGCUCGCCUAUUAAAAGGGAACGUGAGCUGGGUUUAGACCGUCGUGAGACAGGUCGGACUUUAUCUGCUGGGAGUGCUGGUUGCCUGAGGGGAAAAGGUCCCCAGUACGAGAGGAACGGGACGUUGUGGCCUCUAGUUAACCGGUUGUCCGACAGGGCAAACGCCGGGCAGCCACGCCGCUGAGGAUAAGGGCUGAAAGCAUCUAAGCCCGAAGCCUCUCCUGAAAAUAGGCAACCAAUCCCCGAAAGGGGGACGAGGGCUCCCAUAGAAGAUGGGUUUGAUGGAGCUGGGGUGUAAGCUGGAAGGUUUCGACCGACCAGCUCAGCCUGCAGCCUCCAACCGCCCAAGGUAUUAGGCCU
rfam:Candidatus Bathyarchaeota archaeon RBG_13_46_16b RBG_13_scaffold_4468, whole genome shotgun sequence.